rnacentral:rRNA from 1 species
CUAGUAGCGGCGAGCGAACCGGAAAGAGCCCAGCUUGAAAAUCGUGGGGCUUUGCAUCACGAAUUGUAGUCUGGAGAAGCGUCCUCUGCAGCGGACCGGGCCCAAGUUCCCUGGAACGGGACGUCGGAGAGGGUGAGAGCCCCGUCGAGCUCGGACCCUGCUGCUCCACGAGGCGCUGUCGGCGAGUCGGGCUGUUUGGGAAUGCAGCCCUAAGUGGGUGGUAAAUUCCAUCCAAGGCUAAAUACUGGCAGGAGACCGAUAGCGAACAAGUACCGCGAGGGAAAGAUGAAAAGGACUUUGAAAAGAGAGUUAAAGAGUGCUUGAAAUUGCUGGGAGGGAAGCGAAUGGAGGCUGCGGGUGCGCCCCGGUUGGAUGCGGAACGGCGUGAGCUGGUCCGCCGCUCAACGCGGGGUGCUGGUCAGCGUGGGCUAUCCCGGCGGGACAAGAGCGAGCUUAUGUUGCUGGCCUAUGCCGUUGGGAUGGCCGAGGAAGGAAGCGCGCGCCUUCGGGCGGCCCUCGGGACCUGCGCGCUCGGGACGCUGGCAUAUUGAGCUUUCCAUCCGGCCCGUCUUGAAACACGGACCAAGGAGUCUAACAUGUAUGCGAGCCGGUGGGUGGCAAACCCAUGGAGGCGCAAGUAACCUGACAGGUGGGAUCCGCAAGGAGCACCAUCGACCGACCAUGAUCUUCUGUGAAAGGUUUGAGUGUGAGCAUACCUGCUGGGACCCGAAAGAUGGUGAACUAUGCCUGAGCAGGGCGAAGCCAGAGGAAACUCUGGUGGAGGCUCGUAGCGAUACUGACGUGCAAAUCGUUCGUCAGACUUGGGUAUAGGGGCGAAAGACUAAUCGAACCAUCUAGUAGCUGGUUCCCUCCGAAGUUUCCCUCAGGAUAGCUGGAGCUCAUGUAAGAGUUUUAUCAGGUAAAGCGAAUGAUUAGAGGCAUCGGGGGUGAAACACCCUCGACCUAUUCUCAAACUUUAAAUAGGUAAGCCGCCGGGGUGCUUGAUGA